rnacentral:rRNA from 1 species
CCUACGGGGUGCAGCAGUGGGGAAUAUUGGGCAAUGGGCGCAAGCCUGACCCAGCAACGCCGCGUGAAGGAAGAAGGCUUUCGGGUUGUAAACUUCUUUUGUCAGGGAAGAGUAGAAGACGGUACCUGACGAAUAAGCCACGGCUAACUACGUGCCAGCAGCCGAGGUAGUACGUAGGUGGGAAGCGUUGUCCGGAUUUACUGGGGGUAAAGGGCGGGUAGCCGGGUUGACAAGUCAGAUGUGAAAUCCUGCGGCUUAACCGCAGAACUGCAUUUGAAACUGUUGAUCUUGAGUACGGGAGAGGCAGAUGGAAUGCCUGGUGUAGCGGUGAAAUGCGUAGAUAUUAGGAGGAACACCAGUGGCGAAGGCGGUCUGCUGGACAGCAACUGACGGUGAGGCGCGAAAGCGUGGGGAGCAAACAGGAUUAGAUACCCGAGUAGUC